AAGUCGAGCGGAAGGCCCUUCGGGGUACUCGAGCGGCGAACGGGUGAGUAACACGUGAGCAACCUGCCCUAGGCUUUGGGAUAACCCUCGGAAACGGGGGCUAAUACCGAAUAUGACCUCGCAUCGCAUGGUGUGUGGUGGAAAGUUUUUCGGCCUGGGAUGGGCUCGCGGCCUAUCAGCUUGUUGGUGGGGUGAUGGCCUACCAAGGCGACGACGGGUAGCCGGCCUGAGAGGGCGACCGGCCACACUGGGACUGAGACACGGCCCAGACUCCUACGGGAGGCAGCAGUGGGGAAUAUUGCACAAUGGGCGGAAGCCUGAUGCAGCGACGCCGCGUGAGGGAUGACGGCCUUCGGGUUGUAAACCUCUUUCAGCAGGGACGAAGCGUAAGUGACGGUACCUGCAGAAGAAGCGCCGGCCAACUACGUGCCAGCAGCCGCGGUAAGACGUAGGGCGCGAGCGUUGUCCGGAUUUAUUGGGCGUAAAGAGCUCGUAGGCGGCUUGUCGCGUCGACCGUGAAAACCUGGGGCUCAACCCCAGGCCUGCGGUCGAUACGGGCAGGCUAGAGUUCGGUAGGGGAGACUGGAAUUCCUGGUGUAGCGGUGAAAUGCGCAGAUAUCAGGAGGAACACCGGUGGCGAAGGCGGGUCUCUGGGCCGAUACUGACGCUGAGGAGCGAAAGCGUGGGGAGCGAACAGGAU
rnacentral:rRNA from 1 species